AGGUUGUGAAACAAUAUGAGAAACCUCCAGAGCCAGCAAAGAAAGUUUUAUUUUUGGAAUUUGGAAUUCAAAGUUUUUCACACUCAACAUUUCUGUGACUAGCAGGAAAUCUUAGAGUGAGAGGACAUAAUUUUCUCCUUCCAAUAUCUCCUUCUGGCUGACUAAGAUAAAAUGGAUAAAUGG
rnacentral:lncRNA from 1 species